AUAUGCAAAGCAUGCAUCAGCCACAUCCAUGCUAUCUCCUAAAGCAGUCAUUCUGAAACCCAAUCUGGGGACAGUGCAGACUAAAUAAAAUUUCAUUUUGAUUUGGCCUCCCGCUGCGAAUGGGACUGCUUUGUCUCAGCCGACAGAACCAGCAAGCCAGAAAGGGAAUGAAGACAUUUGGAGAAGAAGCGUUUACUGAAAGGAGAUUCCUGGGCUGGAGGAAAACCAUGAUCUACAGUUCAUGUUGACAGAUAUUGUAUUUUUGGUCCUAGAUCUGACUUUUGAAAUGACUUAUCACAAAUUCAAAUUUAGCAAUCAUGAGUGAAGUACCCACGAUGUGCUAAGCAUCUACCUCUGCAGAUAGAAGAACACUUACUGUUCCUGAGCAUGGGAGGGAAUAGAAGUUCCUGGGUCCUGGCCUCACCUCAUCAGGCACUGCCAAAUUUGACACCUCCUUCCUGUUCACGGCAGUCCUUUGCGAUAGGGUAUUAGAUGCCACCAAGUAGCUGCAUAACUCACCCAUUUGGUCAGAGCCUGGGUCUAAGCCAGGUCUGACAGACUCCAAAGCAAGCCCUGUUUACAGCAUGACUGGGAUCCAGUGGACGAGGGAACUGAGCUGUCAAAACUAAGUGACUUGAUUGAGGCCAUGCAGCUGGCGAGGGGAGGACCAGGAUCUGAACCCAACUGGGUCUCCCAAGCCUGGGCCACUGAACCAUUUCACCUCUUGGAAAAACUUAAUGGUCAGAGUGGCCCACCCAGUCCAUGGACAGCAUGGAGGAUAAACUGCUUCCCUAGAAAUCCUCUCCAGCAUUCUUGCCACCACGACUUUGGGACACAUUGACCAUGAGGAGGAGCUGGUCAAUGAUGGACAGGAGUCCAGAUUAGCAGAGAUGUGGUAAUAAGGACACCGAUGCCUAAAUACUUGAAAUAUCCAAUAGGAAGCAUUCCACCUUUGUGCAAAUGCGAACCACAUCUCACCAAGUUCAGGCCAAGGCUGCCACCGGUGACGUUUUGGAAAAGAAAAAAAAAAGCGGGGGGAGAGGAGAGAAACAGAGAAGCAAGGAAUGCAGAAGAGAGCAGAGGCCACAAAAACAGCAGCAACGUGUCCUGUGUAUUCUGUUUCCUUGUAAAACUAUGAAGCAUGUUAAGGAGAUACUUCAUUUUUUGAGGAUUCAUACUCUUGUUUAUAUUAUAAUAAAAACAACCCAUGUUCUUUCUAAAAAUUUAGGCAAUGCCUUCGUGCACAUAAAAGUAAAACAAAAUCACCUGUAAUCCUACCACACGCAGAUCAGCACUUGCUAAUCUUUUCACAGGGAUCCUAAGAAUAUCCUAUUCUCUAUAGAAUAUAGUUGAUUUAUGUUACCUAAUAACUAACUGUUAACCAUUUUAAAAUUCUUCAGUUUUACAUUAUGCUAGAAAAAAGGAGCCGUCACUCUACGUGACAUUUCUGUAUAUUGGUUUAUUCAUUCAAUAAACAUUUUUUAAGUACCUA
rnacentral:lncRNA from 1 species